AUUGAACGCUGGCGGCAGGCUUAACACAUGCAAGUCGAGCGGAGAUGAGGUGCUUGCACCUUAUCUUAGCGGCGGACGGGUGAGUAAUGCUUAGGAAUCUGCCAUUUAGUGGGGGACAACAUUCCGAAAGGAAUGCUAAUACCGCAUACGUCCUACGGGAGAAAGCAGGGGAUCUUCGGACCUUGCGCUAAAUGAUGAGCCUAAGUCGGAUUAGCUAGUUGGUGGGGUAAAGGCCUACCAAGGCGACGAUCUGUAGCGGGUCUGAGAGGAUGAUCCGCCCCACUGGGACUGAGACACGGCCCAGACUCCUACGGGAGGCAGCAGUGGGGAAUAUUGGACAAUGGGCGGAAGCCUGAUCCAGCCAUGCCGCGUGUGUGAAGAAGGCCUUUUGGUUGUAAAGCACUUUAAGCGAGGAGGAGGCUACUAGUACUAAUACUACUGGAUAGUGGACGUUACUCGCAGAAUAAGCACCGGCUAACUACGUGCCAGCCGCCGCGGUAAAAC
rnacentral:rRNA from 1 species